CCUGAGAAUAGAAUUUGUAGGAAAAAAAAACUUUACGUUAACUUUUUGGUGAAAUCGAAAAAACGAAGAUGGAUAGUCUAAAGCCACCAAAUUCUAUAAACAACAACAACAGCAAUAAUAAUAAUAAUAAUAACAACAACAACAACAACGAAGGAAGACGAAGACUUUAUUCCAUGUCUUGCUUGAACGAUCGUCCCAACGGUGGAGAUCCAUUAUCCGUGAGAUUGGCUUCAACUUAUAGGUCAGCAAGAUAUGGACACGUUAACGAUUAUUGUCCUGAACGAAUAGUUGUAGUCGAAGAGGACUUAACAGCUAAUUCAACGAAUAAACACGAUGAGAUCGACGCGGGUGAUCCACCACCAGUCGAUGAAUCUCUUUUCUUCGAUAAUUUUGAAGCACUGAGAAAUGCAUUACGAGUAGACGGUAGCAAUAUAAGGUCAGUCUUCUGGUCUAUGCUCAAUGUUACCGAGAUCAAAUUAUUAUUGGAAAUGGAAAAGAAUUGUAUCGUGCCGUCGGAAAUCUCAUUGAAUGAACAUUUGAAGAAUCUUUCUUAUAUUUGGGCAUGUCAUCGUGGCCUAUCUCAUCUUUUACCUAAACUCGAAGAAUUGGGAGCCGAUAUUAAUUAUAUCGAACCGUGCACUGGUAUGAAUGCUAUUCUAACAGCAUCCUUGAGUGGAAAUGUGUCAUGUUUGGAACAUCUUAUAAGAAAAGGUGUCGAUGUUAAUUGUGCAAAUCCAACGAAUCAUUACACGUCCCUUCACUUUGCGGCUUCAGGAAAAUCGAGAGAAACGACCGUUCUACUUUUGGACAGCGGCGCCAAGUUAAAUACUUGUGCUUAUGAGGAAAUAGUCGAACCGGUACUUCACUGUGCCAUUCGGGCAAAUGCGUUAGAUGUGGUGAAGGUACUCUUGGAACGGGGCGCUAGCGUUGUCGAAAAGAAUCAUCUUGGAGAGACACCCCUUCAUGUUGCUUGUUUCGUCCAAUCGAUACCCUGUGUCGAAUUAUUGCUAACUGUACCAGGUAGUAACAUUAAUGCUGUAGAUCGUACGCAUAGGACCCCAUUACAUUUUGCCGUUAUGAGUACAGAUUCUUCGGCAGUGUUGGUUGAACUUUUAUUGAAGCAUGGUGCUUUAGUCAAUGCGGCAGAUCGAACGGGCUUCACACCUCUUCAUAUAGCUGCUUUGAACGAACAGUCCCAUUGCGUGGAUACUUUGAUUUGGGCCGGAGCUGACGUCAGUGCUACAACAAGUGCAGGCUUAUCAGCUUUAAACAUCAUAUUAAGAAAAAUACCAGAAUCUUUGCAAGUCUUUCGGGAAAGACUCGAUGCCUCUAUCAGGCUUAGACGGCCUGUACCACAUAACAGAGAAUUCGAAAUGAGAUUACACUUUGACCUACUAUUUCCUAGCAACAAUCAAUGCGAAACCAGUUUCAUCAAUACUUUCGUACAAGAACGUCGAAAAGAUCUGCUAUCUCAUCCAUUGGUCAUGGCCUUUCUUCAUCUCAAAUGGGAGAAGAUAAGAAAGUUUUAUUUGAUGAGAAUCUUCCUUUAUGCCAUGACGGUGAUCUGUAUGACUACUUAUGUUCUAACGGCACUUGCAUACAAAUGUUACAAUCACGAUGAUUUUCCAAGUUCAAAGAUCUGCAACAGCAAAAGAAUUUCAGGCUUUCUAUUCAGAAGGCCAGUUAUCGAAAUUGAAUGGUACCUCUGUCUCGUAUUAACCUGUGUCACAAUACCCAGAAAGAUAUUUGGUUUUAUGGUUUACAAAUCGGUGAAACAAUAUUUCUCGAACAUAGAUAAUGUCCUCGAUGGUAUAGUUAUUGUAAGCGUUUUCGUAACGUCAUUUGUUUACACAGGAAAGACAUACGAUUGGCAAAAUUAUGUCGGUGCAUUCGCCAUACUUUGCGCCUGGACAAAUCUUAUGCUGAUGGUUGGACAAUUGCCUGCUUUUGGAACUUACGUUGCCAUGUUCACACAUAUACAAUUUGAAUUUGCUAAACUUUUAUUGGCUUAUUCUGGAUUAUUGAUAGGAUUCACCAUUAGCUUUUGCGUUAUUUUCGUUGGUGAACCAGCCUUUGGUAAUCCUUUUACCGGACUUAUCAAGGUGUUAGCAAUGAUGGCCGGCGAAUUGGACUUUGAGGGUCUUAUUAAUCAAGCGGAUCAAGUUGCCGACGGUCCUUUCGUGAUUUAUCAUCCAUUAUCUGUCUGUUCACAAAUUCUCUUCACUCUCUUCAUCGUUUUUGUAACGGUGAUAUUAAUGAACUUAUUAGUUGGCAUCGCCGUACAUGAUAUUAAUGGUUUAAGAAAUCAUGCAGGACUUACCAAGCUGGUACGUCAAACUAAAUUAAUUCUUUUCACUGAAAUGGUACUGCAUAAUGCUUCCAUACCAUAUACCUUUCGAAAAUGGAUGACCGAUCAUAAAAUAGACGUUGAAAAUCGUAAACACGUCCUUGUUGUAAAACCAUUAAAUCCUUUGGAGAAACGAUUGCCUAAGGAUAUUUUAAAAGCUGCUUAUGAGAUUGCACAAAAGAACAUGCCAUAUAUCAAUGAUGACAAUAUUAGUCUUAGCGACCAUGUAACUUGGAUGAAGCAACAAAGUGAAGAAUCAUCCGAGUCUGGUUUGAGAUUGGCCGUCGAAGAAUUAUCAGCAAGAUUGAAUGCAAAUGAAGAAACAAUAAAGUCUCUUAAAACACAAUUGUUACAUAUGAAUGACAUAUUGGAGGAUAUUGUUAAUCGUUUGGCGAAGGACAAGAGUAUAUGAGUUGGGCAAAGUGAAAAUCUUCGUAUAAUCUGUAAUGAUGACGUUUCUUGCGAACAAGUAUUAUAACGGUUAGGUAUAAAUAUAAUAUUUCCAUUAAUUUUUACGAAUAUGGUUGAGAAAGUUGAUAUCGAAGCCACUGUUGAAAAUGGAGGACCUACUGGACAAUCAGGCGCGAUAAGGUGGGGCAUUGCAUGGGGUCUCCGAAGUUUCGUUACUCCUGAGG